GUAUUAUAAUGCAGUCGAGCGGACAGAUGGGAGCUUGCUCCCUGAUGUUAGCGGCGGACGGGUGAGUAACACGUGGGUAACCUGCCUGUAAGACUGGGAUAACUCCGGGAAACCGGGGCUAAUACCGGAUGCUUGAUUGAACCGCAUGGUUCAAUUAUAAAAGGUGGCUUUUAGCUACCACUUACAGAUGGACCCGCGGCGCAUUAGCUAGUUGGUGAGGUAACGGCUCACCAAGGCAACGAUGCGUAGCCGACCUGAGAGGGUGAUCGGCCACACUGGGACUGAGACACGGCCCAGACUCCUACGGGAGGCAGCAGUAGGGAAUCUUCCGCAAUGGACGAAAGUCUGACGGAGCAACGCCGCGUGAGUGAUGAAGGUUUUCGGAUCGUAAAACUCUGUUGUUAGGGAAGAACAAGUACCGUUCGAAUAGGGCGGUACCUUGACGGUACCUAACCAGAAAGCCACGGCUAACUACGUGCCAGCAGCCGCGGUAAUACGUAGGUGGCAAGCGUUGUCCGGAAUUAUUGGGCGUAAAGCGCGCGCAGGCGGUUUCUUAAGUCUGAUGUGAAAGCCCCCGGCUCAACCGGGGAGGGUCAUUGGAAACUGGGGAACUUGAGUGCAGAAGAGGAGAGUGGAAUUCCACGUGUAGCGGUGAAAUGCGUAGAGAUGUGGAGGAACACCAGUGGCGAAGGCGACUCUCUGGUCUGUAACUGACGCUGAGGCGCGAAAGCGUGGGGAGCGAACAGGAUUAGAUACCCUGGUAGUCCACGCCGUAAACGAUGAGUGCUAAGUGUUAGAGGGUUUCCGCCCUUUAGUGCUGCAGCAAACGCAUUAAGCACUCCGCCUGGGGAGUACGGUCGCAAGACUGAAACUCAAAGGAAUUGACGGGGGCCCGCACAAGCGGUGGAGCAUGUGGUUUAAUUCGAAGCAACGCGAAGAACCUUACCAGGUCUUGACAUCCUCUGACAACCCUAGAGAUAGGGCUUCCCCUUCGGGGGCAGAGUGACAGGUGGUGCAUGGUUGUCGUCAGCUCGUGUCGUGAGAUGUUGGGUUAAGUCCCGCAACGAGCGCAACCCUUGAUCUUAGUUGCCAGCAUUCAGUUGGGCACUCUAAGGUGACUGCCGGUGACAAACCGGAGGAAGGUGGGGAUGACGUCAAAUCAUCAUGCCCCUUAUGACCUGGGCUACACACGUGCUACAAUGGGCAGAACAAAGGGCAGCGAAGCCGCGAGGCUAAGCCAAUCCCACAAAUCUGUUCUCAGUUCGGAUCGCAGUCUGCAACUCGACUGCGUGAAGCUGGAAUCGCUAGUAAUCGCGGAUCAGCAUGCUCG
rnacentral:rRNA from 2 species